AUUAAGAUUAAUAACAAGUAGAGAUUUAUAAAGGCAAAAAUGUUAAUGAAUUAGGAAACAGUAAACCAUUUGAACUAAUAAAUCUAAAUACUGAUUGCAUGAAAAUGCCAAUAAAAUCAAUACAUGUUUUUAAAAGCCAGUCAAGGAUAAAAGAAAAGAGGGAAACUAAAAAUGAGACGUUAAGUACGAGAAAGGAGAUAAAACCACAGUGUGGAGGUGAUGUUAAAAAUUAUAUUCAGGUCUGUGCUAAUCAUUUCAGAAAUUUCAAUGAGAAAUGGGCAAUUUUCAGUGAAUAUGUCAUUGUAAAUGCUUUAAGGAGAGAGACAAAAUCUGAAUAGACCCUGCAAUAAUGAAAAUGUCUAGGAGCCCUCAAGAAAUACCUGGUUUAAAUUGCAUUUCAGGUGACUGCUUAUCAAACCUUGAAGUAUCAAGUAAUUAUGUUAUCUAAAUUGGACCAGGUGCUAGAAAAUAUGUAAGACUUCACAGGUGGCUGCUUAUGUAGCCCUUAUACCUUAAUCUGAUAAAGGUAGCAUAUAUUUAAAAAGAAAACCAGAAGGUACAGUUUAGGGAAAAUUAAAUAUUUCUAUUUGGCCAAAGUAAGAGUACAUUCAAGGGAAUUGUGAGAGGUAAGAGUGGAAAAAGAGGUUGGAGCUGUAUUUUUAUGCUGUGAUUGAAUUAUAGUGUGUGAUAAAUUGCUCUUGUUUGGGUAGAAUACCAUUUAACGUUUUGAAUUAAUUGGUAAUUGGAUUAAUCUUAACUUUAAAAAAAUUAAUCUAAGAGUGGUAUAAAGGAUAGAUUACAGAAUGGAUAAAGGGCGAUAAAUCAGUUGGCUAUGGCAGAAUUGCAGGAAGAAACUGAAAUAGGCCACAGAAAACUGAAACUGACAUUUUGAGUAGUAUUUUGGAAUCAAGAUCUGGAUUUUGGCAACUGAGUAGAUGCAUAGGAAUCAAAGAUGAGUGUACUAAAUGAACUUAAUCUAUGGUUUGUCUCAUUUUAUUGUGUACCAUUAGUGUGUAUGUAUGCAUGUAUGUAUGUGCCAGGUAGUUAAUAUGCUGACUGUGUCUCUUAGCUCCCCUCUGCUGCCUGGACCUUUGACACAGUGCUAGAGUUCCCUCACUUCUCUUUUCUAUAACCCUAUUAUAUUACUGCUGUCUCUCAGCUGUGUUUCCUUCCUCAAGCAGAAAGAAGAUGGCAGGAUCAUAUAGUAGUUGACUAGAAGCUGUGGAGUUUGAGUGCUGGGAUUAUAUCUAGUUGCAUUACUUAUGAAGAUAUAUGACCUUACCUCAUCUAUAAAAUGGUUUACCAAUAGUACCUACCUUACAUGGUUUUAUGAGUAUUAAAUUAUGUAUUUCUAAAGAGAUUUAGAACAAUACAAAGAAUAUGGUAUGGGCUCAGUAAGUGGUGGUGGUGUUAGUUAUUAGAAGGCCAUCGAGUGCUGGAGAAAAUAGUGAAUAUCAUUGAUGGAAAUAAGGGAGGUUUUCCAAGUUAAAAAGCUUCAGUUGUUGGAAAUGUGUGUUGUAAGUAUUUCUGAGAAUACCAGGUAGAAAUUCCAGCCAGAUGCUGGAAUUCUGCACUGGCAGUUGGGAAUAAAGUCAUGUUGAAGGAGAUAAGUUUUAGAGUUAUUGUGUAAGAUUGGUAAAGCACUGGAAUAGAUUGGAUUGACAGAGGGGAGACUCUUCUGAGAUAGGCCUAUAUUUAGGGACAAGAGAAGAGACAACCAAUAAGGGUUGAAAGAAACCUUAAGAGAGUAAGUCCUAUGACAGAAGCAGGGAAGUUUCAGAAUGGAUGCAGAAAGAUCAGCCAGGCUCUUCCUGUUCUCCAUCAUGGUGCGGCAUCAAGGUGGAAAGGAUAACACCAUGCAGGAACUUUGCAUCUGCAGGCUCUGCUUCAACAUCUGUUUAGGAGAAAGUGGAGACAGAUGGACCUGAGUAACCAAGGUGUUGGAGCAGCUUACAGGUCAUACCUGGUGUUUUCCAAAGCUAGAUAAUACUGUUAGCCCUUUUGGCAAUAGAAGAAAUUAAAAGACUGUUGUCUGCUGCACAGUUCGAGAGGCCAAGGCAGAUGAAAUCUUGGAGAAUGAUCUAAAGGUGCACGAGUGUGAGUUAAGAAAAACUACCUUCUCAGAUACUGGAAACUUUGGUUUUGGGACCCAGGAACACAUUGAUCUAGGUAUCAAAUAUGACCCAAGCAUUGGUGUCUACAGCCUGGACUUCUGUGAGGUGCUGGAAAAGCCAGGUUUCAUCAUCGCAGAUAAGAAGUGCAGGACAGGCUGCAGUGGUGCCAAAUAGAAUCAGCAAAGAGUAGGCCGUGCGCUGGUUCCAGCAAAAGUAUGAUGGGAUCAUCCUUCCUGGCAAAUACAUUCUCAUUUCUACCCAAAAGGCCAAUAAAAAGUUUUCAGUGAAAUGUUUAAAAAAAAAAAAGAUCAGCCAGCAGCCAGUAGGGUAUUAGUUGUUGAGAAAGCACUAAUGACCAUUAAGAAAUCAGCCUCGACUGGGCAUGGUGGCUCAGGCCUGUAAUCGUAACACUUUAGAAGGCCAAGGCAGAUUUCUUGAGUCCAGGAGUUGAGACCAGCCUGGGCAACGUGGCAAAACCCUCG